rnacentral:rRNA from 1 species
UACGUAGGGUGCGAGCGUUAAUCGGAAUUACUGGGCGUAAAGCGUGCGCAGGCGGUUAUGUAAGACAGGGGUGAAAUCCCCGGGCUUAACCUGGGAACUGCAUUUGUGACUGCAUAGCUAGAGUGCGGUAGAGGGGGAUGGAAUUCCGCGUGUAGCAGUGAAAUGCGUAGAUAUGCGGAGGAACACCGAUGGCGAAGGCAAUCCCCUGGACCUGUACUGACGCUCAUGCACGAAAGCGUGGGGAGCAAACAGG